rnacentral:lncRNA from 1 species
CUUUAAAUAGUCAAAAUUACUUUAAAUAAUUGUUAUGUUCCGUGCAUAGUUAUGAUUGAAAUGGGGGAAAUUAUGCAAACUUUCUAUGUGGUAUUUUCAAUUAUCAGUACACAAAUAAAGAGGUGUGGUAUGUUUAUUAUCCACCAGAGACCUUAGGACAUGGAUGUCAGCAACAAUAGGUCACCAUACAGCCGUCAACAAUGAGCAAACCCUAAACCGGAAAUAAAGCUAUGACAAAGCCAAGCCCCGGCAUGCCAAGUGUGAACAAUUCAAACGAGAAAACUAACAGCCUGCACUUUGUUGUAUUUGCUAAAUAAAGUGAAUUGCUUUAGCAUAUAUAAAAUUAUUGGACGGCGAAUCAUAAAUGACCUCAGUAUAUAUAUUGACGCAGAAACGCAUUGGACUGGGAUAUGAUAAAUUAAUCUAAGAUAAAAGAAACAAUACACAGAUUCAGACAUUUCUGUUUGUGGGGAAAUUCAAUUGACCCACGAUUAUUUACCUUACAAGGAACAAAACACCUAACCAAGAUUCUAUGACCAUAUCAGGGACAAUACACCUUACCAUUGUACCCUAUAAACAAGGGCCGCUACACAUAACCACGAAUCUGAAACCUUUUCUUGGGCC